rnacentral:lncRNA from 10 species
AAUCAAUAUAUUAAUAAUCAACCAUGAGACAGAGACAGCAGCAAGGAUGGGGUAAAGGAGAUUAGCUCUCUUUCUCUGCCUGCUCUCCCUGGUAUUGAAAUCUGGCUAUACUUCUUCCCAGCUCUUGAGAAUUAUUGCAAAACUGGGUCAAUGAAUCAAAGUCAUGGAGUGGCAGAUUCCACCUCAAUGUAAGAAAGAACUUCUUUUUUUUUUGAGACAGAGUCUCACUCUGAAGUCUCCUCUUAAAGGGCUGUGCAAAACUCCAAACAGAAAGGCUUGGCUCUGAGAGAGCCAGAUCCCAAGUGCCCCAGGGUUGUAAUGAGUCUCCUCGCAUUAUUGAACAAACACCUCUAAGUCACCUUUUGCUGGAGGAAGCUUGGUCCUUACAGGAGGGCCUUAGAUUGGGCCCUGAUAAGGCAGCACAUCCUGUCUGCCUCCCUGUCCACACCCUCACAGCUGAGCCUGCUGCGGUUGCUGCUGACUUCAAAGGCACUGCUUCCCUUGGAUCCACAUCAAGGACUGGAAUGAGAAAAGGGUCCCCUGACCUUCUUAUAUCACCUCGCCUAAGUGUCCCCAGCGGUGCUCUGCAGAGCAGAGGCCCCAGCUCCAAAACAACAGAACACAAAGUACUUUAACCUUUGAAUGUGGCAAGACCUCCGUGAAAAAUCGUUUCUCAGCCCAUUUGAUGGGAAAAGGGUGCUAUUUUUGUGACUACCUGUAACAUCUGAGUAUGCUCGUCAGAAGUCACUCCGAGGAAAAAUCUGAUUAUUAGUUGGGAAAAUGGGGCAAGGAGGAGGCAGAGAAGAGAAGUAGCUCUGCUGGGUAUGUGGCAGUGUGACUUCUAGAACUGUUUGUGUCCAUGUGGACUUGGACAAGCCACUUCAGGACUCUGGGUCUGGGUCUUCUCAUCCAAAACAAGAGCUUCAAAAGGCACUUCGAUAAUUGUUUGAGGCAUGAAAAAGGCAGGUUUCAGCUUUCCUAACUGGAAUGGAGUCUCUUCAAUUCUGCCCAAGAGAUUUGGCCUGAAAAGAUUGUGCCUUCAACCUCAUCCUGGAAAUUCAGGUAGCAUUUUUCGGUUUUCUCUCUCAGGAGACAGAAGCUGACACCCCACAUGACUCCCAUCUUGUCUGUAAUCAGCAACCAGGGCUUUGACCUGCACUGUCCUCCUUUCCAGCAGCAGAAAGGGGUCAAACUGAGCCAGGUCUAGUAAGAGCUAUCUCAGAGAACCAGAACACGGAUUUGCUUUUGUUCUCUCAGGACAGCAAACCCAAGGGAGGGCAGACUCAGGCUCACAUCCCACUCACACGGCCCUGAGUGUGGACUGGGAGCAAGACGCUGCUUCAAAUUUCAGCCUGCCAGCUGUGUGUCCACAGGCAGCUAACAAACAUCUCUCAUCCAGCCACAGCCUCACCCAGAGAAGAGUAACCGACCCAACCUUAUAGCGUUGCUGUGAAGUCAGUUAACAUAGGGCUGAAGUUUGCUGUGAAGUCACAGCAACCCUAUGUUAUGGUUAACUUCAUUUAACAUAGGGUUAAUGUAGGUUUAAUAUGAGGGGCUAACAAUUACAUAUAAAUGUUAGCUACUGUAAUUGUCAGAUGCAUGGCCACUGGUGCCAAAGGAACCACUCUGAAAAUUCUGGAGGUUUUCAAGACUCUGGGGAUUCAGAAAUGGAGGAAGAAAAGAAGCUGCUGCAGGAACAGUGCAGGGAAGCUAGAAGGGAACAGGGUGGCAGCCCCAGCUCAAAAGGUCUUCCCUCUCAAGGGCACCACCUGAAACGUAUAAGGUUGCCUGAAAUUCCACAGAUUAGACAUUUAGUUUUGCUUCUUUACAACAAUAUAUCUCAAAGAGAACUGGCUGGUUAAACAUUAUUCAUACAUCUGUGUGAACUGGUUUAUUUGCUCUCUUCCUAAUACCUACACACUUAGAAACUCCAGGGAGCAAAGAGCUUGGGUCUGAGUUAGGGACUAGGAAAGGAACAGAAAGUAAUAACUUAGAGUCAUGAAGCACUGUCCAAGACAUGGCCAGCUGUUCAGACUCUGAGAGCCCCAGUUCAAUUCACUGGCUGGCCUGCAGACAGCCUGCCUGGCUCAUGAGAAGGGAGGAGUGGGGAGUCAGGACCUGGAGGUCCUGAGGUGCUUUUCUGAUGUUGGUACUUUCACGUUGCCCACUCAUAAAAUACCCUUUGUAAAUGGCUUCUGGGACUCCCUCCUCUCUGGGAGUGCCUCCUUCGUGAGCUCUGCAUAUGGGUGGCCCAGAGAGCAGGCCCCAGCUGUUGCCUCUCCUCAGACAUUCCAUCCCUAUGACCUCAUCCAGGUGCGGGCUUGAGUCACCACUCCACUACAGACUCUCUUGAUUUGGAUAUUCAGUUGCCUACUUGACAUCUCCCUUUCAAGUACCUCAAACAAAACGCUCCAUGUGCCCUUACCCCUACCCCCUGCCACCCAAAACAAUCCAAACAAAAACUCCAUCAGCCUGGUCUCCAUGGACAUGUUCUUGAUGCAGUCAACCUUUCAGGACUAUUGACGUUUCUCUUUGUACCUUGUACUUUUCUUUCACAGCCCUUAGGACAAUGUAUAAUCACUUACUUAUUUUCAUAUUGACUUGUGUAAUACCUGUUUCCCAAUAGACUGUAAAAUUCAUGAGAAUGAGACCAGGUGGUUUGUCUCCUGUUCUUCCCCACACCCUAACUGGCACACAGUAGGUCCUCACUAUGUAUUUGUUGAAUGGAUAGUAUUAAAGUGAAGAUGGGUCCUAGGGUGAGGAAGAGUUUCUGGGCACAAAGAAAGGCCAUGAAACCUGGCAAAAAAUACAUAUGAGCUCAUAUCUUGUUUUCCUGAGGAGCUAUUUGGUUUCUUCCUCCUCCUAUUUGAUGAAGUUAUAUGUUUAAUUAAAGCCCUGAACAGUUAGAACAAAUGUAUAGGAAAUGAUCACAUGAUCAUGAACUUAGCAAACAGCUACAAGCUUAACUGUCUAAUAUGGGGAGUGCCUAAAUGAUAUGUAUCAAUAUGGUUGACUCUCAGUUAUCCAUUCCAGUGGAUAAUCUAAUAGCCAGUAAUCUAAUAGUUCAUAAUUUACUUGCCUAUAAUCCCAUAAGUUUUACAUGUGGCUUUGGAUUAUGUUUUGGAAUUUGCACCAGGGUAUGGGGGCUCUGAUGGUUUAGGAAUUCACAGUACUUUGAGCAUAUAUGUCCUAUGUCACUACCCCAGUUGCCCAUUAAGGAUUCCUCUGGGUUCCAACUGCAUGUGGAAAAAAUACUGCAUUGUGCUUAGGAGGAAAGUGCAUUGGUCUUUGUUUGUUUGUUUGUUUGUUUUGUUUUGGCUGUAAAAAUUGGGGUCCAAACCCCAGCUCUUGCAUUUACUAACUAGCUCUGUUUUCACACUACUUGUCCCCGUCUAAACCACUCCCUCAGGCAGGUGCAAAACAAGGCGAAAGCAGAGUUAAGCUCCUUAUGAACUUUCUGUUUUACAUCUAGGCAAAGAAACGUUCUCUCUUCUCCUUUUUUUCUCUUUUUCUUUCUGCCUUAGAAGACCUUCUCUUCCAGCUCAGUGGGAUGAAGUCAACAAGGUCUUUGCUUUACAAAAUCAUGCCUGAUUGGGAAAGAUCCUGAAAAUGUCUAGACAAAUCUGAAAGAAAAAUGCUGUCCUGGGCAAUCUAAUACAGAAAACUGACUCUGGGCUUUCCCUGGGCUCCACUGGUCCCACCAAUGGUGCAAAUGACGGUGACUUUCUCCACGUUCUACAUACAUCUGGGCAUUUGCUCAUGCUGUCUUGGGUCAAAGUCUCAAGUUGGAAAAUGGAUUCAUCCUGAGAUCCAAGGCAGAACCAGUCGUGUUGUCAGUGGGUAGCUGAGACCCCAAAAUUCCCACCUCUUUUCCUGUCAUGAAGUUUCUAUCUCGAGAGAAAACAGCUGUCCAUUCUUAGGCCAACUGGGACUGAAGCCAGCUGUUCCUUCCAGAUGCCAAGAGUCAGAUGCACGCCCACUCUUUUCUCCUAUUCCCUAAGGCUGAAGUCUCAAACUUUAUUGAAUUUAUUAAUAACCUCAGGGACUUGCUAAAAAGCAUUUCCCCAGGCUCUACCUCCAGAGAAUCUGAUUCAGUUAAUUCAGGUUGGCCAGGAAAUCUGCAUGUUAAAUAACAACCCUCCUGCCCCACCUCAUUUCUGAUCUCUAGGAAAUUCCUAUGUAAUUGGUCUGAGAAUCAUACUUUGAGUGACAAUAGCCACAGUGGAGGCACUGGUGUGCCGGUAAAUGUUUAACAACUGGCUCUGGAGGUGGAAAAGCCUGGUUUGUAGCUUGCUGAUUUCUGUGGUAUAAAUAUUCCCACCUUGGUCAACUCAAGCUACAAAUAUGACAUCAUGAUUGUGAAGUUGGGAAAAGGUUUGUGCAAUCAGUUCUGAUAAGCCCAUAGUAACUGAUUUCAGCAUGCCCACUGGGUGGAAGUGGCCGGAUGCCUCCAAAUGCUGGUUCCUAGGCUCUGGCAUAGAAGGGCCACUGUUUGGUCCAGAAUGUCACAUCCCCUAAUUUUUUUUCCCUAAAUCCUUCGUUUUUUGAAUGGUUUGUUUUGGUUACUGGCUCUCGGAGACCUUGAGGGGUUCCAAGCCAGAGAACAAAGAAGGGGAAGAGAAGGAGCUCCAAGAAAGAAAAUGCAAUUAGUGUAGGAUGUUGGCCUCAGCUACGCUGCUAACCUUGUUCAACCCAGCUUUCAGCAGGGAAGGGGUUUCAAACACCUGUCUCUGCCUUCAUUUGAUAAGCUUUCUGGUCAAGUCACAUUAACCUGAUCCUGCUGACCUGGAGAAGGAUGAAAAGGCUGAGUGUCGGGGACCUGAGGGGAUGAAAGUGGAUGGGGGAGGCCUGGGGGGGGGGCUCAUAUGACCUGGGGUCACCAUCGGCUUAAGGCUUCCCCUUUGUCUCCCUGCUCUGGCCCCAUGUUUGAAGGUUCUGGUGAUUUCCUCCCGCCCCCCGACUAGGCGAACAGAUGUGGAAAGAUCUCCAGUUCCCAGGGCUCAGGACACAACUGCCUGUUGUUUCCCGCCUGCAGACCGGGGCCUGCAGUCACAGGCAGAACAGCUACGCAAUCACUUGCCAAAGAGCUGAGCCCAGUCAGGUGUGGGGUGCAAGCCUACUCUGCCUUUUGGGAGUGAGAGGAUGUGUAAGCCUAGCUGAACAAGAAUGGAAAACAACCAUGUUCCCGCCCUGUUGUGCUCUAAGUUCACUGUGUAGGAAUUCAGAGGCACUUUAGCAGAGGCAAUGACUUGAGCUCUUCCACGGCAAUACAAUGCUCACAGGUGCCAUGACCAUUUGAACAAACGCUGCCUUCUGGGCCAGCUGCUUCUCUUGUCCCACACUGCAGGUACUGCCAACGUGAGAACUUUGCCCACUUCUAGACUGGAGUUGAGGGCACCCUGCUACUCUAAAAAGGAUGUUUUCCUCAGCCCACUGAGCUUUCAGGGCUCACUAGAUCAAGGCGGUAGAAGAGUUACAAAGGAAGGGGUGCAAGUGUUAGCUUCCUUAUGUACCUUAUUUAUUCAACACUGAUAGUUUCAGAAAUGGCUUAGAGCCUAGCUUCCUCACCAAUAUCCAUAUACCUUUGACAAGUGGGACAAAUAAAAGCAUAAAAAUAUCUCCCUUAAAUAAAACGCCUUUCUCAUAUCUAGUCCAUCUACAAGAAUAAGCUGAUACCUAAUGAUAUGUUUUCUAGUUUAUGCAAUAAAUGGUGGUGAUUACAAUUUUGCACAAAGACCUGGUACAUAUACGUCUUAGCAUGUAGCACAUUUACCUGUAAAUGCUACAAGUAGCAGAAUGACAGCCAUCUCCCUAAAGCACUGAUUCUCCAAGUGAGGUCUGCAGUCCCCUGGGAUCCCUGAGACCCUAUCAGGGUGUCUGCAAGCUCAAAAUUAUUUUCAUAAUUUUGAUAAUAUUUCAUAAUAAUACCAAGAUGUUAUUUGCCUUCUUCACUGUGUUGACAUCUGGGUAAAAUUGCUGGUGCUAGACUAUGCUGGCAGUCACGGCAUUCUUCACUGCUACAAACUUACAGGGGGAAUAAAUGCCAGUUUCACCAAAGAAUGUCCUAAAUUAGACAGUAAAAAUUAUUAAUUUUAUAAAACCUUGCCCAAAAGGUACUUUUUCUCUCCUCCCCUCCUCUCCCCUCUCUGCCUCCCUUCCCCUUCCCCUUCCCUUUCCUUUCCUUCCCUUCCCUUCCCUUUCUUUUCUUUGUGUGAUGACUUGGAAACAAAGUAUCAAGCAUUUCUGGUGCAUCCUGAAGUAUGAUGGUCAUCUGGAGGAAAAGCACUUGUGUGAGUGUCCUGAGUUGUGAUCUGCACUAGUCACUUUCAUGGAACACAAUGUUUACUCAAAAGGACCAAAUAACCAUAGUUAUUCAGAUUUGGUUAUUUGACAGGCAUUUUCUCAAAAAUGAACAAACUGAGCUCAUCACUUCAAGAAAGACAAUAAUUAACAGUAUUUUCUGCCAAAAUAGAAGUAUAAAGCAAAAAUUAGAAUUUUUAGAAACCUGUAUCUGCCAUAGUGAACUUAACACCUUCCCAACACUUACAGAGGUUUUUGAUGAGAUCAGUGAUAUUAACAAAUAAGAACUUUUAGUUUUCAUCAAGAAAUAUAUCAAAUUUGAAAAAUCUGCAUGACUUAGUGAAGCAAUAUUUUCCAAAUGACCCAUGCAUAUUAUUUCAAAAUCAUGCAUGAGCAAAAGAUCUAUUCAGAGUACAAGCCAGAUAACUGAAUUUUAACAUAACUGAGCACAAAAAGUUCAUUGAUAUAGUUUCAGAUUCCACAUUGCAACUAACCUUAGUAAUCUACUAUUGGUUGAGUUUUGGUAUAAUGUCAAAGAAGAAUAUUCACAAUUAUCUGAAAAGACUAUUAAAAUAUUCCUCCCUUUUCCAACAAAAUAACUACGUGAGGCUGGGUUUCCUUCGCAUACUUUAUCCAAAACAACAUUAUCACAGCUGAUUGAAUGCAGAAGCCGAUAUGAGAAUCCAGCUGUCUUCUAUUAAGCCGGACAGUCAAGAGAUUUGCAAAAAUGUAAAACACUGUCACUCUUCUCACUUGGAUUUUUUAAAAAAGUUAUUUUUAUAAUAAAAUGUUAUUUUUAACGUUUAAAUGGAUUAAUGAAUAUAUGCAUUUUAAUAAAUUACUAAAUGUUAAUUUAUUCAUUAACAAUGAAUAAAUAUUAAAUGAACAAAUAUUAUUUUUGGUUUUAGUUUUUAAUAUGGUAAAUUAUUUAAUUAUCUAUUGCUGUAUAGCAAAGUAUCCUAAAACCUAGUGGCUUAAAACAACAAUAAUCACUUGAGUUGCCAGCCUAAAGAAAUGGGUCCAGCUUCCGGGCAGGGCGUGGUGGCUCACGCCCGUAAUCCUAGCACUUUGGGAGGCCGAGGUGGGCGGACCACAAGGUCAGGAGAUCGAGACCAUCCUGGCUAACAUGGUGAAACCCCGUCUCUACUAAAAAUACAAAAAAUUACCCGGGCAUGGUGGUGGGUGCCUGUGGUCCCAGCUACUCGGGAGGCUGAGGCAGGAGAAUGGCAUGAACCUGGGAGGCAGAGCUUGCAGUGAGCCGAGAUCAUGCCACUGCACUCCAGCACUCCAGCCUGGGCGACAGAGUGAGACUCUGUCUCAAAAAAAAAAAAAAAAAGAAAAGAAAAGAAAGAAAGAAAGAAAGAAAUUGGUUCACCUGGGUGGCUCAUACCUGUAAUCCCAUCACUUUGGGAGGCUGAGGUGAGAUGAUCAUUUGAGGCCAGGAGUUUAAAACAAGCCUGGGCAACAUAGCGAGACCCCAUCUCUAAAAGAAAAAAAAAAAAGCCAGGAAUGGUGGUGCACACCUGUAGUCCUAGCAACUUGAGAGACUGAGGCUGAAAGAUCACUUAAUCCCAGGAGGUUGAGGCUACAGUGAAUUGUGAUUGCACCACUGCACUCCAGCCUGGAUGACAGAGGGAGACCCUAUCUCUCUAAAAAAAAAAAAAAAAAAAAGAAGAAGAAGAAGAAAGGAAGAAAAGAAAUUAUUGGUCCAUAUGUCUGAAAUGUCUUUGCUGUCUAUCUUUGUCCCGUUGCUCAUAGUUAGACCAUCAUUUAGGCAACUUCUUGCUCACUUACCCUCCACAAGCUUGGACACAGGUCCUUCUAGCUCUGUUUCUUCUGAACUUGAGAUUACUGGAGACUCCCUUAUGAGUUUUAACACUCCCCAUAACCUUUGUAUGAUUUGUACAUAGAAAAUACCCCCAAAAUUAAAAAUAAAUUAUUAAACUAAAGGAAAGGUUAGUAAGAUUGCUGGACAUAAAAUUAAUAUUUGAAAAUAAAUUAUAUUCCAAUAAGAUACACAAAUGGCCAACAAGCACAUAAGAAAUAUCUUUAGUAUCACCUGCUCUCUGCAGCUCCCAGGCACACCUCCCCAGGAGCAGAGGUUUUCUGGGCUAGGUCAGGCCCUCCCAUUACCUGCUUUGUAGAAGACAGGGAAGAAAAUCACUCACUGUAUGUAAUUUUAUUUAAGAGAGUGCAAGAAUGUCGUGUUUGAGCCUUUCACUCUUUUUUCUUUGUAUUUCUUAUCGGAAAUGAAAGAAAACAGCCAGUGAGAUAGGAUCUCAGGUCUAGAAUUCCUAGCAGGUAAUUUGGGAGUUGAAAACAAAUCUCCCCUGAAAUGCAUUAAGCAGGUGAAGGGGAUUCCAGUUUCAACUCUGAAACCACACCUUAUCCUGGCCUGGCAAAUAACUUCCUUCCAGCCCCAGGCAAAUCCCAACUUCCACCCGCCAAAUGCCUGCAGUUAAUAAACGUUUAAGCAACAACAAAAACCCCAAGUGGAAAAUGGAAGACUGAUUCGAGGCUGAGAUACUAGAAGGGCUGCCUGGGAGCCCCUCUCUGAGAGCCGCGCCCACAGGAGGAACUUUUAGCCAGGGAAGCCGGGGCCUGGAGCUGGGGAACCCAAGGCAUGAUGUCUUUCAGAGCGUCAGAGCAGGGUAAAUAUCUGAUUUGAGUCAAAUGAUUAUUUUUCUUGAUCAGAUUUGUCCACUUGUUUCAUUGGAACUCCAUACCACUAGCCAUGGUCAAACCCUUCAAAAUGGCCAAAAUCUCCAGACUGCAUUAUUGGGCCACAGUAGGUCCUGCUUCCUGCUAAGUGCUGCAAGACUGGAGUUUCCAAGCUCUGGUCUAGAUAGGUCAGCUGAGGGUUGGUAAGGAAGUUCUCAUGGGUCCAGAGAGAACUAAGAAAAAAAGGAUCAUGUUAUGCUGUGGAAAUGUGCUCCGCGGUAAUUUUUAUUCCCAUUUUACAUAUCAGAAAACAGAGGCUCAGAGACGUUGAAUGACUUGCCACAUAGCUAGUCAGUAGCAGAGCGAGGAUGGAGAUUCACAUGAUCAAUCACAGUGACCACCGUUUGCUGAGCACCUGUAGUGAGACAGGCAAACACCUUGUGCUUUGUGUGUGUUAACUUGUUCAGUUCUCGUGGAUUGCUUCCUUUUUAAAGAAAUGAAACUGUUCAACAGAGCUUCCUGCCAUAAGGGAAAUCUUCUACAUCUCACGUCCAAUAGAUAGCCACAAGCCCCAUGUUGCUAUUCAGCCCUUGAAAUGUGGUAAGUGAAACUGAGGAACAAAAUUUUAAAAUUUUAUUUCACUUAAAUUGAUUUAAAUGUGAACAGCCACAUGUGGCUGGCAGCUCUGGGAGGUUCAGUAGCUUUUCCAAAAGCCAGCGAAGUGAUGAGGUGAGGGUUGUGUUGUGGGGCUGAUUGAGCCCCAAAUCCAUGUGUUUCCCCCUUUCUCUCUGCUCCCCUGUGAGGUGGCCUGCCUUUUCCAAAGUAAAAGACACUGGGAAGGAAACUGACCAGACAGUAUACAGUCAGCCAAAAAUAAAGCCAGACCCCAAAGGUGGGGUCUGUAUUUGAGUCUGCUUCUUCCGAAUGUGUCUGGAAGCCCCCAUGGGUGGCCAAACAGCCCAGCUGGGGGCUUCAGACCCUGCACCAGUAACUUCCCAGAGCCCACCAUGGCCCAUUUGGCUGGGGCUUAUAUGACUCACAGGUUCCAACCCUACAAUUUAAACUGCAGCAUUUCCUUUUUCUGGGCUUAACACUAAUUGGUAGAGGUAGUGAGCUCCCAGGCCCAGCCUCACCCUGUCGAAACAUGUAGCUCUCAACAGUUCCCACUGGAAGCACCACCCAUGAGGUGCAGCUACCAUUGCCAUGUGUCUGAAUGCCAGUGUUUAACCCAAGCUGGCCCAUUGUUGUUCCAUGAGCCUCUCUAUAGCCUCUGAAUGUUCAUCUUU